rnacentral:misc_RNA from 1 species
GGAAAAUCACUAUCCUGGAUUAUCCCCUUAUCGGCUGGAGUGAUUUUGGUAAUCCUAAGCCUAGUGGUCUGGAUUAGAAGAAGGAAGAUAGCUUCAGAGAAAAAGAAAGGAUGCUUUGGGCGCAAUGGCAAUUACAAGAUGGAUUACCUCAAUGGAAACCUCAGCGAAGAAUAUGAGUUACCACUGUUUGACUUAUCUACAAUAGCUAAAUCUACAAACAACUUUUCAGGGACGAGCAAAAUUGGAGAGGGUGGAUAUGGACCUGUUUACAAGGGCGUGCUUGAACACGGACAGGAAAUAGCUGUGAAGCGGCUGUCCAGGACUUCCACACAAGGACAAGAUGAGUUCAUGAAUGAAGUGAUGUAUAUUGUGAAACUUCAGCAUAGAAAUCUUGUGAAGAUUCUCGGAUGUUGCAUCGAAGGAGAAGAAAGAAUGUUGAUCUAUGAGUACAUGCCAAGUGGAAGUCUUGAUUCAUUUAUAUUUGAUGACACACGAAGCACGGUAUUAGACUGGUCUAAGCGCUUUC